GUGAAGAACCUAAACCGAUUGUCGUUACAAAAACCGUUUGUGAAAUUAUCGAACGCCUAAAAGAUCGCGGUAACGAAGCCCUUAGUAAUUAUUAUACUGCUUCAACUGCUUGCUCCCUUUAUAACCAGGUUGUUGCAGAAACGAUGCAAAAUUUCUCGAUACCAACGUUAAAGGAACUGCGCGGUCACAUGAUAGAGCGUUUAAAUUUAGUGAAGGAAUCGUUAAAAAAGGCAGAAGAGGCAACUGCUGAUAU
rnacentral:misc_RNA from 1 species